CCCACUGGGUGACUGAGACAAACUUGUUUUGCUUCUAUCCAAGAGGAAUGAGAAGAUCAAAUGUAGUUUGGGGAAGGCUGGAGCCAUCAGGAAUGAUAGAGGCGAAAAGUCCAGGCGCCGCGGAGGACUGCUCAGUUAUGGAAGAGAUGGAAUAGCCUUUUAUGAAAUGGAAUGUUCCUUUUUCGCUCUGAGUGGAGAGCUAAACUACCUUUCUCGUGACCAGCGCAGGAUGCUAAAACAUAACCUCUGUCUACGCAUCAGGGGCUAUGCAUUUUCAUGUUUAAAAAAAAGAAUAGGCUCCACCCCCUGAAUAUUUACGCAUUGCUGCUCUAGGCAUUGCACACUAUUUGGAAAUCCUCGACUGGACAGAGACCCUGAUUUUGUACAUGUGGCAGAUUCUGUGGCUCAGACUGCUCAUCCUCCAGUCUGGGCUACGCUGCAGAAAGCAGUAGACAUCCUUUCCAUUUUCUAUUAAAGUGUAAGAGCAAAAGCUCAGGCCACAUGGAGGAGAUGAAUCCCUCUGACACCAGCAACCUGGAGACAGGGUGCGGUCCUUUCCUUGCUUUCCUGGCUGAUUUGCUGUGUGAGUGAUUCUGUAGCUGCCUUUCCACAGCAGAGCUCCUGCGUCCAUCUUCUGGCUUUCGAGGGUGUUGAAAGGAAGAUGAAGAGGCAGCCGCAGCAGGAUGUCUUCCUGAUCUCUCAUGAGUGGACAGCGACAUGGUCUUGUUGGAAUCACUCUACUGGUGGCCUCGGUGUGACAGGACUCCAUAGUCUUCUGGGAGUCAUUCUUGCAAGGCCAGCAGAUAGAUCAUUCUUCUGGUUUCCCCGCGAUUUCGCCCUAGCCACCCUGUCCUUCUCAUCUUAAGGUAGUGAAUUGGCUGUUUCAUUCACUGAAUCCUGACCGGCAGAAGCUUCGGAAAGUCACCCCAACUCAUACAAGCUUUGGAAAACAGGGCUGUGACAUGGAACAGAUGCUUUUGGCUUCCUUCU